GAUGGACGCUGGCGGCGUGCUUAACACGUGCAAGUCGAGCGAUGAAGUUUCUUUCGGGAAAUGGAUUAGCGGCGGACGGGUGAGUAACACGUGGGUAACCUGCCUCAUAGAGUGGAAUAGCCUUUCGAAAGGAAGAUUAAUACCGCAUAAUGUUGAAAGAUGGCAUCAUCAUUCAACCAAAGGAGUAAUCCGCUAUGAGAUGGACCCGCGGCGCAUUAGUUAGUUGGUGGGGUAACGGCCUACCAAGGCGACGAUGCGUAGCCGACCUGAGAGGGUGAUCGGCCACAUUGGGACUGAGACACGGCCCAGACUCCUACGGGAGGCAGCAGUGGGGAAUAUUGCACAAUGGGGGAAACCCUGAUGCAGCAACGCCGCGUGAGUGAUGAAGGUUUUCGGAUCGUAAAGCUCUGUCUUUGGGGAAGAUAAUGACGGUACCCAAGGAGGAAGCCACGGCUAACUACGUGCCAGCCGCCGCGGUAACAC
rnacentral:rRNA from 1 species